GUGCUCGAAUCCUCAGCACACAUACUAAAACUGGAAUGAUUCAGAGAAGAUUAGCAUAGCAUGGAACCUUCACAAGGAUGACAUGCAAAUGUGUGGAGCAUUCCAUAUUUAU
ensembl:snRNA U6 U6 spliceosomal RNA